GGUUAUAUUGUGAUCCAUCCGAAGACCGUAGGUGUCCACAAGACUUAAUUACCUACGCAGGACGAAGUCAGACUUUCAUCUAUACACCUUGACUUUGACUGAAUACGUCUUUGGAGACGUAUUUUUUGUAUGGAUAA
rfam:Microgenomates (Curtissbacteria) bacterium GW2011_GWA1_40_16 TT84_C0052, whole genome shotgun sequence.